CGAGUCGCGAGAAUUAGAUUCUCGGCGUACCGCUCAGUAACACGUGGGCAAUCUGCCCUAUGCUGGAUAAUAACCUCGGGAAACUGAGAAUAAUGAUCCAUAGUUCACUACGCCUGGAACGGUGAGUGGAUGAAAGCUCCGGCGGCAUAGGAUGGGCCUGCGGCGUAUCAGGUUGUAGGGGGUGUAACGUACCCUCUAGCCCUCUACGCGUACGGGUGUUGGGAGACAUAGCCCGGAGAUGGAUUCUGAGACACGAAUCCAGACCCUACGGGGUGCAGCAGGCGCGAAAACUUGGCAAUGCGAGAAAUCGUGACCAGGGAACUCCAAGUGCAUCGGGUAAGACCGGUGCUUUUCUUGACUCUAAAUAGGUCUUGGAAUAAGGGGUGGGUAAGGACGGUGCCAGCCGCCGCGGUAAUACCGGCGCCUCAAGUGGUAGUCGCUUUUAUUGGGCCUAAAACGUCCGUAGCCGGUCUGAUACAUUCGUGGGUUAAUCAACCAGCUCAACUGGUUGAAUUCUGCGAGGACGGUCAGACUUGGGACCGGGAGAGGUGUGGGGUACGCUCAGGGUAGGGGUAAAAUCCUGUCAUCCUGAGCGGACCACCUGUUGCGAAGGCGCCACACUAGAACGGAUCCGACGGUCAGGGACGAAGCCUAGGGGCACGAACCGGAUUAGAUACCCGGGUAGUCCUAGGUGUAAACGCUGUGGACUUGAUGUUGGGGGUGCUCCGAGCACUCUCAGUGUCGAAGCG
rnacentral:rRNA from 1 species